UGCUGCAGGGCAGAGGCUAGAAGAUGCUCGCUGUGUCUGGCAAGCCCUCUGCUCAGUCUGCGCACUGCUGGCCCAGUGGCUAAGGAAAGCCCACACCGUCCCACGCCGUCAACACUCAGAGCUGAGAAAGCGCGCUCCGGGCUUCUGCUCUGUCCGAGGGCAGAUCUGAGAGGCAUUUUCCAACCAGGGCGUGCGGUGUCCCUUUUCUCUAAGGUAGACACAUGGAAAGGGAUACAGAGGCCAUGGAACGCAGGCUUUUUCUCCAGCACUGAAGAGUCAAAGAGUCAACAGCCCACCGGCUCUGAAGUUGGAGGUCCUAUCCCAACUCAGCUACGUUCUGGUUGCACGGUCUUGUGCCAGUCCCCUCUGCACCUCUCGGUGCCUCAGACUCCUCGUCCUGCAGCAUGAAGCAGCAUGAUCAAACUGCGCCCUGAGACUCUCCUCGAUUUGGUGAAAUCUGGAGAUGGGCCGGCUCCGAGGCUGUCUGUGCAGGGGAGGUGAUCCUUAAAUUGAAUUGCAGCCCUCCGAGGGGUGUUUGCCCCGUCAGCGGCUGCCAGGAUCUGACAUGUUAAUGGGGCUGAGGAAACAGUGGUUUUCAGAGGUAAUUGCUGAAGCAAUGACUUCCAGGCAACAUUUGACUUAAAAAAGAAGUGUUGCUGCCAGGAGGGGCCGGCGGGGGCUCUGCUCCGGGCUUGCCUCACGAUCCCAGCCAGGUUUGCUUCCCUGAAGAGCUCAGGUGGGCCCGCAGGCCACAGCAGCCAGGUGCCCGCCGACAGACAGCCGGCUUCUCUGUCCACAGACCCUUAGACUGCCCUGUGUACACUGUCUACACAGCGAGCUGCUGCACGGGGGCUGCCAGGCAGAGGGUGGGAUUCCAGGCUCCUGGUUCGGCACUCCAUGGACAGGCGGACUGAGAGCCCACACCGCCCCCUGCGCCAAGCCAACCUGUGGUUUGGAGUAAGCCGUGUCAUCUCUCCAGGCCUCACCCGUACGACCCCUCAGACUUGCAGCGAGGAUUCAAUGAGAUACUCCGGGAAACGCCUGGUAUCUAUCUGGGCCACAGGGGGCAUAUGGUGCACGGGACGGAGGGCUGGUAUUGACGGGCACUAACUCCCGCUAACUCCAACCCCUUGCCACGGAUCAACUCACCAAACUUACCCAACGGCUCCCCGAGGCAGGGUAUAUCAUGUCCGUUUUACAGAAGAGGAAACUGAGGCCCCAAGAACUGAAAGGCUGGACCUACAACUCACACUUCGGCAAUGGAUUCCGCAUUUUCAGCCCCCCGCGGGGCCGGCGCCUGCUUCCUGGCUACGUGGUUCAGGGCACGUCACUUUGGGACAGUGAGCACAGCACAGGCUGGGCCUCACUGUUGGGCUGAGUCCCUCGCCUGCCCGCAAUGCUGGGCCUCUAAUAUGGGAGGGGAAUCUGAGUUCUCCCACAUGUCUUUGGUUACGAAGGAAAAAUCUAGGGACUCACCGAAGACAUUUCAGCAAACAUGCAGCUGCCUGCAGUAGAGAGCAGGUCAGAGAGAGCGCCCGGGCCUGAGUGGGUGUAACAUCAGCCAGCCUUGGAUGAGGGGGUGGGAGAGGAGAAUGGACCUUGAGCCUGGCUCCGUGGAAAUAACACGCCAGACUCAAGUCAAGAGAGGCAGUCCGCACUGAGUCGGAGGCCCUGCCUCCAAACCCAGACUGUUGGAGGAGCCAGAGGGAAGGUCAUUAAAUCACUCAUGCAUACAUUCAUUUGCAAAUAUUUACCCAAGCACCUUCCCUGCCCAUGGCUCUCCACUGGGCGAUGGUAAAGACACGAGGCCCCUGAACCUCUGGCACUCACAGCCUCAUCGGCCAGUGCUUAUUAAG